rnacentral:lncRNA from 1 species
AGGCAUGAAGGCACACGCUUUUAGUCUCGGCACUCGGAGACUAAAGCAGCAAAGUCUUUAGUCCAGCGUGGGCUUCAGGAAUAGACAGUCUGUCAAAAGCAAUAAAAGACAUAACGUGGAGAGCAUGAAGGGUGCUACCUUGCAGCCCCUGAACUAAAAUAGCCCCCCUGUGUUACAUCUAUUCCUCAGCAGAAACUAGAUAGGUGUGUUGUCCAAGGUCACCUGGUAAGGUGUUUGGCAGCUCCAAGCUCAGACCCAAGAUAAGGCUAAUCGGAGUCCUUAGCAAGUCUGAGGGGUCAGGGACAGUGUGCAAAUGCCUGGAGGGCUCAUCCCAUCUGCUCACCUGAGUGCCCUACAUGGAGCCGACCCGAAGAUGCCAACCUUUCUACAAUCAACUUGGACCCCCACGGUUGCCGUGCCUGGAAGAAAAUAGAAACGUCCAGGAAGGCUUUGGGGGACUUCAGCAUGGGACCAUGGCUGCCUCCUGCUCGGUGCAAGGGCACAUGGCAGGAAGCCUCCCUCGUCCCCUGGGAGACAAUCGGGUAGCCCAGCCAAAGGGAAAGAGUCUGACCAAGCUAUGAUCCAUGGUGGGAAGGGGGAAGAGAGGCUGAUUGGGAACCUGGUGGAAAUAAAGGUUUUGUGGUAUUGGUAAA